AACGAACGCUGGCGGCAUGGCUAAGACAUGCAAGUCGUACGGUAUGUAGUAGCAAUAUUGCAUACAGUGGCGAACGGGUGAGUACAAAAUAGGCAACGUACCAUGGACUCAGGGACUAACCCCGGGAGCUUGCUCCUUUGCGAAAGUGGAUUAAUACCUGAUGAAGUCGCGACGCGGCAUCACGUUGCGAUACCGAAAACCGGGGCCGCAAGGCCUGGUUGGUCUUUGANCGGCCUAUUUCCUAUCAGCUAGUUGGUGAGGUAACGGCUC
rnacentral:rRNA from 1 species